rnacentral:tRNA from 1 species
GGGGCUAUAGCUCAGCUGGGAGAGCGCCUUGCUUUGCACGCAGGAGGUCAGCGGUUCGAUCCCGCUUAGCUCCA